GAUGAACGCUGGCGGCGUGCCUAAUACAUGCAAGUCGAGCGAACAGAUGAUGAGCUCGCGCCUCUGACGUUAGCGGCGGACGGGUGAGUAACACGUGGAUAACCUACUUAUAUGACUGGGAUAACUUCGGGAAACCGGAGCUAAUACUGGAUAAUAUAUUGAACGGCAUGGUUCAAUAGUGAAAGACGGUUUUGCUGUCACUUAUAGAUGGUUCCGCGCCGCAUUAGCUAGUUGGUAAGGUAACGGCUUACCAAGGCAACGAUGCGUAGCCGACCUGAGAGGGUGAUCGGCCACACUGGAACUGAGACACGGUCCAGACUCCUACGGGAGGCAGCAGUGGGGAAUCUUCCACAAUGGGCGAAAGCCUGACGGAGCAACGCCGCGUGGGUGAUGAAGGUCUUCGGGUCGUAAAGCUCUGUUGUUGGGGAAGAACAGAUGUGGAAGUAACUAUGCACGUCUUGACGGUACCUAAUGAGAAAGCCACGGCUAACUACGUG
rnacentral:rRNA from 1 species